rnacentral:rRNA from 1 species
AACGAACGCUGGCGGCAGGCUUAACACAUGCAAGUCGAACGAGCUGGGGGCUUCGGGCCCCGAUGCUAGUGGCGCACGGGUGAGUAACACGUGGGAAUAUGCCCUUUAGUACGGAAUAACAAAGGGAAACUUUGGCUAAUACCGUAUACGCGCUUCGGGGGGAAGAUUUAUCGAUAAAGGAUUAGCCCGCGUCUGAUUAGGUAGUUGGUGAGGUAAUGGCUCACCAAGCCGGCGAUCAGUAGCUGGGCUGAGAGGAUGAUCAGCGACACUUGGACUGAGACACGGCCCAGACUCCUACGGGACGCAGCAGUGGGGAAUAUUGGACACUGGGGGCAACCCUGACCCAGCCAUGCCGCGUGAGUGACGAAGGCCUUCGGAUUGUAAAGCUCUUUCGAAGGGGACGAUGAUGACGGUACCCGUAGAAGAAGCCCCGGCAAACUUCGUG